rnacentral:snRNA from 1 species
GUAAAAUUUGUGCUUCAACAACACUGAAACUGGACUGAUCACAGAGAAGAUCCGCUUGGCCCCUGCACAAAGAGGACAGGAGAUACAUGAAGUGUUCAGUGUUGUG